rnacentral:lncRNA from 1 species
CGGCUCACAUUUUAUUUAUAAAAUAUAAAGAUUUACCAUUUAAACUCAUUUUUCAUAAAAUUAUAAAAUCAGAUAAAAAUCACUUUAGAUAAUUAAGACGAUAGUAAGGUUACUCACUAUUUUGGGAGUCGAAUUUCGAGUACUACGAUUCUUGAUCCUCGGGUAGGGGUGAGCAUAUUCACACAUAACCGAAUAACCGAACCGAUCCGAAAUGAGCUCGAUUUUUUCAGUUCGGUUAAUUCGGUUGUUCGGUUAAUUCGGUUAGAGGAAUUCAGUUAGUGUAAUUUUUGCGAUUCAGUUUCGGUUAAAAAAAUUUUGAACCGAACUAACCGAAUACAAACAAGGGUAUUUUGGAGAUUUCCCCUAAAAAAUUCCUAAACCUAUUCCCAAUCUCAAAUUCUUAGUUCCCCAGCCCUUUAACCUUUCUGCCUUUUCGCUGUCCCGUGACUCACUGGCUCCCGUCACCAUUCUCAGCUUCUCGCCCUUUCUGAUUCGGUGAUUCCUGCUUCUGCCGACUACCGUCCAGACUCUCCCCUCGUCCCUCAGUCCCCCCUCUUAGCCUUUUCUCUACAACUUCAUCAAGAAAUUCGAUGAUUUCGUGAGACCCCAAACGAAUCGUCUUCUCGAUCUCCUAUUCUUUCCGCAAAGAUUCAUGUUUCGUGAUUCCUGCUUCUGCCGACUGCAAUCCAGACUCUCCCCGAAUCCCCCCUCUUGGCCUCUUCACUGCAACUUCAUCAAGAAAUUAGAUGAUUUCGCAAAACCCCGUAUGUUGAAUUGAUUUGUUUUCUUUUCUUUUUUUUUUGUGAAAUUGCUCUUUUAGCGUAGUUUUCGGGUUUAAGCACUCACUUCGAUCUAUUUUUGGUUUCAUGCUUUAAUAUUUUGUUUUGCAUCAGGUGCCUUUUAGUGUUAUUAUUUAUGUAUAUUGAAAAUUAAACUCAAUUAUUUUCGCUUGACUUGCUAAAAUAACAUGUUAAUGUCGUUGGGCUGUUUACUGCUUAGGCUAUUGGGGCUUGGAGUUAUGCUGUGCUUCAACCCAACUUUAUUCUGUUUUGCUUCCUGUGGCUGUGGUGCUCUUCAGGGUUGGGGUCCUUUGGUUUUAGGCGUUACAGCUCUUAUUUUGUGCUUAAUGCCUUUGGGGUCCUGCUGUAGUUUCAUCAACUAGACAGAUUCAUUGGCAUUGACGAGCCAAUGUCACGUCAAUUUUUCUUGUGAUCAUGAAUUUUUGUGUCUCUAUUAAAGUUGACUCUACCUUUGUUUCAUAUAUUUUGUCAUACAAGCCCCAUUUGGGAGUAAAGAGAAGGUGCCGAAAGAGAGUAAAUAACAUUAUUAGCAAUUCUUUUGUUUUGCUUUCUUUUGCAAAUGUACAGGUUAUUAAUGAAAGUAAAUAAUUUUUAUUUUGAAAAAAAAAAUUAUUAAGUUUGAUUUUUGAUAACCGAACCGAACUAACCGAGUUAGUUCUGUUUCGGUUGGUUCGGUUACUUUUUUACUUCGGUUCGGUUUCGAUUAGUUUAAUAUAGGAAUUCGGUUAGUUCGGUUACUGGAUAUCCAAUAACCGAAUUAACCGAACUAUCCGUUUGCAUAGCCCUAUCCUCGGGUACUAUCUCUUUACUUUUGCCAGAAUGCUCAGCACCUAGACAUAAUGCACAAUAAGCCAUUUACUACAUUUGUGCUAAAUUGUUAUAAAACCAAUUUAGGCUCUAUACUAAUGCAUGAAAUGGGAUGUAAAUUGUUCGGAUUAUCGUCUAAACACGGUAUUCUAUACAAAUUCAAUUGUGUACCUAAAUAAAACGAUAUUGGCCUAAUUUGAUCUAUCACUCGAUUAAUUGGCCAAUAUGUCCAAUUUAACUUCAUUUAAUUCCAUUUUUCUUCCAAUUCUCCAAACCAUCAAACACAAGUUAAAUAACUUGAAAUAUGGCAAAAUCAUCCUCACAUUUUUUCUUGGAAAAUUUGGCCAUGGUGGGUGCAUCAACACUAUAAAUUUUCAAGCUUGAUUCUCACACCAAAAAUCACUAAUUCCUAACCAAAUCACUUAAAAUAAGAUCAAAAUCAUCAUCAAUAUUCCACAUGGAGAAUUCGGCCAAUGAUGGGUGAUGGAAGAACAUGAAUUUUUCUUGCUUGAUUUUCAUGCUACACAUCACCAAUAAACUAAAAACACUAAAAUACAUUGAAAUCUAACCAAAUCAAGCAUCAAAACCUCUUUUUAAGUGUUCAGCUAGCAAGAUACCCAUCAUGAAAUCAUGUGAUUCAACCAUGGAAAAUGCAAAAGAAUGUAUGGGAAAGGUAGAUCACAAGCUAGAAUUGAAAAAUCUUACCUUUGUCACUUGUUUCCUUGAAUUUUCACACUUUUCCCUUGAAUUUUUCCACCUAGGGUUUUUGUUCUUUUUUUCUUCCUUUGUUCUUCCUUUGUCCGGCCAUAUG